rnacentral:rRNA from 1 species
GAUGAACGCUGGCGGCGUGCCUAACACAUGCAAGUCGAGCGAUCUCUUCGGAGAGAGCGGCGGACGGGUGAGUAACGCGUGGGUAACCUGCCCUGUACACGCGGAUAACAUACCGAAAGGUAUACUAAUACGGGAUAACAUACGAAAGUCGCAUGGCUUUUGUAUCAAAGCUCCGGCGGUACAGGAUGGACCCGCGUCUGAUUAGCUAGUUGGUAAGGUAAUGGCUUACCAAGGCAACGAUCAGUAGCCGACGUGAGAGGGGGAUAGGCCACACUGGAACUGAGACACGGUCCAGACUCCUACGGGAGGCAGCAGUGGGGAAUAUUGCACAAUGGGCGAAAGCCUGAUGCAGCAACGCCGCGUGAGCGAAGAAGGCCUUCGGGUCGUAAAGCUCUGUCCUCAAGGAAGAUAAUGACGGUACUUGAGGAGGAAGCCCCGGCUAACUACGUGCCAGCCGCCGCGGUAA